rnacentral:rRNA from 1 species
UGAAUCAUCAAAUCUUUGAACGCACAUUGCGCCCUCUGGUAUUCCAGGGGGCAUGCCUGUUUGAGCGUCAUUU